UACGAAGGGGGCUAGCGUUGUUCGGAAUGACUGGGCGUAAAGGGCGCGUAGGCGGCGAUGUAAGUCAGGCGUGAAAGCCCCGGGCUCAACCUGGGAACGGCGCUUGAUACUGCGUUGCUUGAGGACGGGAGAGGAUGGUGGAAUUCCCAGUGUAGAGGUGAAAUUCGUAGAUAUCAAGCAGAACACCUGCGGCGAAGGCGGCCUUCUGGACGAUGACUGACGCUGAGACGCGAAAGCGUGGGGAGCAAACAGG
rnacentral:rRNA from 1 species